rnacentral:tRNA from 1 species
GGGCCCAUAGCUCAGUUGGAUAGAGCGUCGGACUACGAAUCCGAAGGCCGCAGGUUCGAAUCCUGCUGGGCCCGCCA